rnacentral:rRNA from 1 species
UGAGGAAUAUUGGUCAAUGGUCGCAAGACUGAACCAGCCAUGCCGCGUGCAGGAAGACGGUCCUAUGGAUUGUAAACUGCUUUUAUACAGGAAGAAACCCCUCCCACGUGUGGGAGCUUGACGGUACUGUAGGAAUAAGGAUCGGCUAACUCCGUGCCAGCAGCCGCGGUAAUACGGAGGAUCCAAGCGUUAUCCGGAAUCAUUGGGUUUAAAGGGUCCGUAGGCGGUCUUAUAAGUCAGUGGUGAAAAGCCCCAUCGCUCAACGAUGGAACUGCCAUUGAUACUGUAAGACUUGAAUGCUUAGGAAGUAACUAGAAUAUGUAGUGUAGCGGUGAAAUGCUUAGAUAUUACAUGGAAUACCAAUUGCGAAGGCAGGUUACUACUAAGUGAUUGACGCUGAUGGACGAAAGCGUGGGGAGCGAACAGGAUUAGAUACCCUGGUAGUCCACGCCGUAAACGAUGGAUACUAGCUGUUCGGCGCAAGUUGAGUGGCUAAAGCGAAAGUGAUAAGUAUCCCACCUGGGGAGUACGCACGCAAGUGUGAAAACUCAAAGGAAUUGACGGGGUCAUAGCUGUUUCC